rnacentral:lncRNA from 1 species
AAAUAUACUUUAAAAAUAUAUUCCUUUUCAUAAAAUAUUCUUAUACAUUUAUAAUCAAAACUAUUAAAGAAAAUAAUUUAUCAUAUCCUAUAAGAAACACAUCAACAUGCAAAUAAAUAUAUUUCUAGAAAACUCAGUCUAAGCAUUAAACAUUCUUUGUAAACAUGAUUUACUUUUCUAAAAUUAUAUUCAUAAGAAAAUAUAAAAUAUAAAUUUAGUAUAUUCCACUUAGUACGACAACGCUCAAGCUUGGCUUUCGUCGACAUCUGCAGAUUGACUCAUGUUCGUGGCUCCUCCUAAAUCAAUGAAACAUCAUAGUUACUUUACAACUAUGAGAAAACUCAAGACUAGCAUUAUAUGGCGUAAUUUCACUAGUGAUAUUUAUCACGAAAUCUACAACUCUUAAAUCCAUAUUUGCAACCCAAAAUUAAUAGAAUACCCUCCAUCCUUAAAUCUCUCUUUACGCUUAAACUUCCAUACUCCACCUCAAUAAUUAAAUUUUCAUAUCUUAUAAUGCUAAUAAAUCAUCCACAUUAUCAAUAAUCUAAUUAAUAACCAUAAAUUACCUAAACAUAAUACAUAAUUAUAAAUUAUAUACAUACUAAAUCAGGAAAACAAUGAGGGCUAUGAGUUUUUGGCUCUACAAUGUCUUGUUGGUAUGCUUGUGUUCCUAAAACAAUCCAACAAUUACAGUAUUACACAAAUUCGCUUGGGACCAACUUUACCUCGUUUUUGGAAUCCAUAGCUUUGAAUAAAGUAUACAAAUCUUGAAAUUAACUUCAUUCCCAUGAAAUUUAACAUAAAUAAAGAUAGAGUGAUAGAAAUCUUACUCCCUUUAGUGACAUCUUAUUUACUUGAAUUACACCUUUCUCACUCCAAACACAUUCUCCCUCUCUCUCUCUCUCUGUAGUUUCCACUUUCAAAUUCUCCUUCAAUGGAUCUUCCCAAACGAAUUUAGGGUUAAAAACAACUCCAAUAAAAGUUCCUUAAAUCAAGAUUUACAAGGCCCAAGCCUUAAUUUUUGCCAAAAUCCUAAAACUUAAAAAUUCCCCAUUUUUGGUUCUCUUGGCCAUGAGCUUUUCUUUGAAAAAAUGGUAAUUUAUUUAUUUAUUUAUCUUUUGCUUUAUGUUUAUAUAAAUUUAAUGGUGGGCUUGGUUUUUUUUAGUAAAUUAAGGAUAAUGGGCUUUAAAUAAUGGGCUUCUAAAGCCUUAUGCCCAAGGGAAUAAAUGAUGUUUAAAAAAUUCAUUUGUUACAGUCUCAAAUGAAGAGUGGACAGCACACACAACAUGAAUAAGCCUUUGUCAUUUAUUAUAUUCAUUUCAAUUACUUAAGCGCCAAACUUAAGAGGCAUAACUAAACUAAUCGUACAUUUAUGCUCCUUGAAUGUGACGGGAGCUGUUAAGGCAGCUCACUAUCUUAAAAAGAAGAAAAGUUAAAGCCACAUCAGUAGAUCCAGUGUUGCAACUUGACAACUCAGCAUAAAUUUGUUAGACAUGUUCCAUAUCUAAUUAAUUAUAUCAGUUUAAUUUAAUUGAUUAGUUUACUGUUACAAUUUAUAAUGUUUAGAAAAGCCUAUAAACAUUUGGAAAGCUGUACUCUCAUUAGCAAAAAUAAGAUUUGAAACAAAGAAAAGUUUUCUUUCAUUUUCUCUGCUUCCAAACAGCAUUCUUCAUCAUUUCUAUAAAGUUUCAACUUAUAGUCCUCACUGGACUCAAUAUAAGCUCAAGCGAUCUCUUAUCCUGUAGCUAUUUUCUUAAAAUAAUGUUCAGAAAGAUUCAUGAUCAACGCUUGUGCACAAAUUGUUUGUUCUGAUAUGCAUAAAGUAGUCAAUCAAGUAAAUUGAUUAUCGAUUCUCGGAAUGAGAAGUCCCACAAUCUUUAAAAUACUAGAAAUUAUGGCAUGCUUUGAUAAGGCCUAGAGUUAAGGGCAAAUGAGCGGACCAACUAAAGUCAAUGAGGGUUUCAACCCCUUCUAGGCCAUAAUUUUUUUCUUUUAAAUGUGUCUCAAACCCUUUAUAAAAGAAUUAAAUAAAAAUAAUUUAAGCAUAUUUUUUUAUAUAACAACA